GAUGAACGCUGGCGGCGUGCCUAAUACAUGCAAGUCGAGCGAACGGACGAGAAGCUUGCUUCUCUGAUGUUAGCGGCGGACGGGUGAGUAACACGUGAUAACCUACCUAUAAGACUGGGAUAACUUCGGGAAACCGUAGCUAAUACCGGAUAAUAUUUUGAACCGCAUGGUUCAAAAGUGAAAGACGGUCUUGCUGUCACUUAUAGAUGGAUCCGCGCUGCAUUAGCUAGUUGGUAAGGUAACGGCUUACCAAGGCAACGAUGCAUAGCCGACCUGAGAGGGUGAUCGGCCACACUGGAACUGAGACACGGUCCAGACUCCUACGGGAGGCAGCAGUAGGGAAUCUUCCUCAAUGGGCGAAAGCCUGACGGAGCAACGCCGCGUGAGUGAUGAAGGUCUUCGGAUCGUAAAACUCUGUUAUUAGGGAAGAACAUAUGUGUAAGUAACUGUGCACAUCUUGACGGUACCUAAUCAGAAAGCCACGGCUAACUACGUG
rnacentral:rRNA from 1 species